rnacentral:rRNA from 1 species
CGACUCUCGGCAACGGAUAUCUUGGCUCUCGCAUCGAUGAAGAACGUAGCGAAAUGCGAUACUUGGUGUGAAUUGCAGAAUCCCGUGAACCAUCGAGUUUUUGAACGCAAGUUGCGCCCGAGGCUAUCCGGCCGAGGGCACGCCUGCCUGGGCGUCACGCCUAGCGUCGCUCC